GAGGGUAUAGCUCAAAUGAUAGAGAGCAUGUUUAGUAUGUAUGAGGUCCUGGGUUAAAUCCCCAAUAUCUCCU
rnacentral:tRNA from 1 species